GCGUUCAUGGUUUAGUGGUAAAAUUGGCGCUUGCCAUGCGCUAGCCGCGGGUUCGAUUCCCGCUGGACGCA